ACUACGGGAGGCAGCAGUGAGGAAUAUUGGUCAAUGGGCGUAAGCCUGAACCAGCCAAGUCGCGUGAGGGAUGAAGGUUCUAUGGAUCGUAAACCUCUUUUAUAAGGGAAUAAAGUGCGGGACGUGUCCCGUUUUGUAUGUACCUUAUGAAUAAGGAUCGGCUAACUCCGUGCCAGCAGCCGCGGUAAUACGGAGGAUCCGAGCGUUAUCCGGAUUUAUUGGGUUUAAAGGGUGCGUAGGCGGCCUUUUAAGUCAGCGGUGAAAGUCUGUGGCUCAACCAUAGCAUGGCGGUUGAAACUGGGCGGCUGGAGUAUGUUGGAGGCAGGCGGAAUGGGUGGUGUAGCGGGGAA
rnacentral:rRNA from 1 species